rnacentral:rRNA from 1 species
UACGGAGGGUGCGAGCGUUGUCCGGAAUCACUGGGCGUAAAGGGCGCGUAGGCGGCCUGAUAAGUAGGGGGUGAAAUCCUGCGGCUUAACCGCAGGGCUGCCUUCUAAACUGUCAGGCUAGAGCACAGUAGAGGCAGGUGGAAUUCCCGGUGUAGCGGUGGAAUGCGUAGAGAUCGGGAGGAACACCGAUUGCGAAGGCAGCUCGCUGGGACGUCACUGACGCUGAGACGCGAAAGCGUGGGGAGCAAACAGG